UAGGGAAUCUUCGGCAAUGGACGAAAGUCUGACCGAGCAACGCCGCGUGAGUGAAGAAGGUUUUCGGAUCGUAAAACUCUGUUGUUAGAGAAGAACAAGGACGUUAGUAACUGAACGUCCCCUGACGGUAUCUAACCAGAAAGCCACGGCUAACUACGUGCCAGGAGCCGCGGUAAUACGUAGGUGGCAAGCGUUGUCCGGAUUUAUUGGGCGUAAAGCGAGCGCAGGCGGUUUCUUAAGUCUGAUGUGAAAGCCCCCGGCUCAACCGGGGAGGGUCAUUGGAAACUGGGAGACUUGAGUGCAGAAGAGGAGAGUGGAAUUCCAUGUGUAGCGGUGAAAUGCGUAGAUAUAUGGAGGAACACCAGUGGCGAAGGCGGCUCUCUGGUCUGUAACUGACGCUGAGGCUCGAAAGCGUGGGGAGCAAACAGG
rnacentral:rRNA from 1 species